CGCUAGCUACAGGCUUAACACAUGCAAGUCGAGGCGCAGCAUUUCAGUUUGCUUGCAAACUGGAGAUGGCGACCGGCGCACGGGUGAGUAACACGUAUCCAACCUGCCGAUAACUCGGGGAUAGCCUUUCGAAAGAAAGAUUAAUACCCGAUAGUAUAAUCAGACCGCAUGGUCUUAUUAUUAAAGAAUUUCGGUUAUCGAUGGGGAUGCGUUCCAUUAGGCAGUUGGUGAGGUAACGGCUCACCAAACCUUCGAUGGAUAGGGGUUCUGAGAGGAAGGUCCCCCACAUUGGAACUGAGACACGGUCCAAACUCCUACGGGAGGCAGCAGUGAGGAAUAUUGGUCAAUGGGCGCAGGCCUGAACCAGCCAAGUAGCGUGAAGGAUGACUGCCCUAUGGGUUGUAAACUUCUUUUAUAUGGGAAUAAAGUUUUCCACGUGUGGAAUUUUGUAUGUACCAUAUGAAUAAGGAUCGGCUAACUCCGUGCCAGCAGCCGCGGUAAUACGGAGGAUCCGAGCGUUAUCCGGAUUUAUUGGGUUUAAAGGGAGCGUAGGUGGACAGUUAAGUCAGUUGUGAAAGUUUGCGGCUCAACCGUAAAAUUGCAGUUGAUACUGGCUGUCUUGAGUACAGUAGAGGUGGGCGGAAUUCGUGGUGUAGCGGUGAAAUGCUUAGAUAUCACGAAGAACUCCGAUUGCGAAGGCAGCUCACUGGACUGCAACUGACACUGAUGCUCGAAAGUGUGGGUAUCAAACAGGAUUAGAUACCCUGGUAGUCCACACAGUAAACGAUGAAUACUCGCUGUUUGCGAUAUACAGUAAGCGGCCAAGCGAAAGCAUUAAGUAUUCCACCUGGGGAGUACGCCGGCAACGGUGAAACUCAAAGGAAUUGACGGGGGCCCGCACAAGCGGAGGAACAUGUGGUUUAAUUCGAUGAUACGCGAGGAACCUUACCCGGGCUUAAAUUGCAUUUGAAUAUAUUGGAAACAGUAUAGCCGUAAGGCAAAUGUGAAGGUGCUGCAUGGUUGUCGUCAGCUCGUGCCGUGAGGUGUCGGCUUAAGUGCCAUAACGAGCGCAACCCUUAUCUUUAGUUACUAACAGGUCAUGCUGAGGACUCUAGAGAGACUGCCGUCGUAAGAUGUGAGGAAGGUGGGGAUGACGUCAAAUCAGCACGGCCCUUACGUCCGGGGCUACACACGUGUUACAAUGGGGGGUACAGAAGGCAGCUACCUGGUGACAGGAUGCUAAUCCCAAAAGCCUCUCUCAGUUCGGAUCGAAGUCUGCAACCCGACUUCGUGAAGCUGGAUUCGCUAGUAAUCGCGCAUCAGCCAUGGCGCGGUGAAUACGUUCCCGGGCCUCGUACACACCGCCCGUCAAGCCAUGAAAGCCGGGGGUACCUGAAGUACGUAACCGCAAGGAGCGUCCUAGGGUA
rnacentral:rRNA from 1 species